rnacentral:rRNA from 1 species
GUUAACGCAUUAAGCACUCCGCCUGGGGAGUACGGCCGCAAGGCUGAAACUCAAAAGAAUUGACGGGGGCCCGCACAAGCGGUGGAGCAUGUGGUUUAAUUCGAAGCAACGCGAAGAACCUUACCAGGUCUUGACAUCCGCUGACAAUCUUGGAGACAAGACGUUCCCUUCGGGGACAGCGUGACAGGUGGUGCAUGGUUGUCGUCAGCUCGUGUCGUGAGAUGUUGGGUUAAGUCCCGCAACGAGCGCAACCCUUGAUUCUAGUUGCCAGCAUUUAGUUGGGCACUCUAGAGUGACUGCCGGUGACAAACCGGAGGAAGGUGGGGAUGACGUCAAAUCAUCAUGCCCCUUAUGACCUGGGCUACACACGUGCUACAAUGGAUG